AUUUUGCUAUUAUGUGUUCUUUUAAUUAAAAUGAUUCUUUUUAAGGUCUUUCUCUUGCUUCUGCAUUUGAAGAUCUUGUUACUUUGAGUAAAUUAGAGUGUUCAAAGCAAACAGAUAUAGCAUUGCGCGUUUGAAUACUACAGCAUGGAAUAACAAAAUUGAACAAGUCAGAAUUUUGUUCUUUUUUCUUAUUUUGGCUUAGUUACGAUUAAUAGGAGCAGCUUGGGGGCAUUUGUAUUCAGAUGUCAGAGGUGAAAUUCUUAGAUUUUCUGGAGACAAACAAGUGCGAAAGCAUUUGCCUAAAAUACUUCCAUUAAUCAAGAACGAAAGUUAAGGGAGUGAAGACGAUCAGAUACCGUCGUAAUCUUAACCAUAAACUAUGCCGACUAGGCUUUGGAUGAAAGAUUUAAAUAAGAGAUUUCUCUUCGGAGUUAAUCUCUUAGAUUGCUUCCUUCAGUGCCUUAUGAGAAAUCAAAGUCUUUGGGUUCUGGGGCGAGUAUUCGCGCAAGCGAGAAAGUUAAAAGAAUUGACGGAAGGGCACCACCAGGCGUGGAGCUUGCGGCUUAAUUUGACUCAACACGGGAAAACUCACUAGUUUAAGACAAGAGUAGGAUUGACAGAUUAAUAGCUCUUUCUUGAUUUCUUGGAUGGUGAUGCAUGGCCGUUUUUAGUUCGUGAAUAUGAUUUGUCUGGUUAAUUCCGAUAACGAACGAGAUCUUAACCUGCUAAUUAGCGGCAAAUACGAUAUAUUCUUAUGUGGGAUUGAAUACGGUUGAUUUGCUUAUUUUGAAGAAAAUAUUGGGAUGCGUAAGAGUGUCCCUUUCCCUAUUCUACUUAAUUUGCUCAUCAUACUGUUUCUCUUUUGCGUAAGAAUGUAUUUGAUUUAUUGUAAAUUUUCUCAUAGGAACAAUGUGUGUCUAACACAAGGAAGUUUAAGGCAAAAAAAACAGGUCCUGCGAUGCCCUUAGAUAAACUAAGCUGCACGCGUGCUACACUGAUAUGUAUAACGAGUUACUAAAAUUACGUUUCUGCUUGCAGAUGCGUACUUUUCCUCCACUGAAAAGUGUAGUUAACCUUUAUUAGUACAUAUCAUGAUGAGGAUAGAUUAUUGGAAUUAUCAAUCUUGAACGAGGACGUCUAGUUAGCGCGAUUCAUUAAAUUUCGCUGACUACGUCCCUGCCCUUUGUACACACCACCCGUUGCUCCUACCGAUUGGAAGAUAUGAUGAAAAGUUUGGAUAAGAGAAAAGGGGAUUAUACAUUAUUUUUGCUCUAAAAAAAUCGAAAAUCUUAUCUUUUAAAGGAAGGAGAAGUCCUUAUAAGGUUUCCAUAGGUUCACCUACGGAAGGUCUUUAUGACGCAACGAAAAAUAUUUGAGCAUGUAAGAAAGUGAAAUCGGCUAUACGUGUAUUUUCGGAAUAUUUGCGGUACACUACUAUCGGUUUCAUAGAACACAAACGUUGUGGGUGUUUAGAAAUACUAAAAAGGGUGUAUCUUCCAAUCUCUGAAUAUAUUUGGAAAUAGGACGUUAUGGAAGUUACUACCCCCUUUUUGUGUGAAAAAAUGCCCCUCUGUUUGUGUUUUACAUUACAGCAAAUUAAUUAAAUCAAUUUUUUUCAUAACAUGUGAUAUUGGAGGGGGUGGAAGGCAUGUAAUACACAGAAUGUUCAACUGCUAUUUUGUGGAGAGAUGUAAGAAGUUGCAAAAUUAUGUACUUAACGUAUAUUUAUCGCAGUGUGAGCUCACAUUCAUACCAGUUUUCUUAAAAGAAUGGCUUAACCUUAACGAUGGAUGUG